rnacentral:misc_RNA from 1 species
AAGUUGGCAAGGUAGUGUUAGCAACAAUGGCUCUGUUUUGCUUUUAGCGGCGGUAUGCGUGUCCACAGAUGCUCGUUUCUAGCUGUGAUUUGAAAUAAUGCUGUGCGAUUCUGCUUUGCUUGAAGUGUACGGAUGUUACCGCACAUGUUAAAAAACUCCAGAUGUCGAACUGAAGAACUGUCUGGGCUAGUCUGGGCAGAAUGUGAGCGCUUCGACGGCGUGCCAAGAGUUCCGACUUAAGUUUCCGAAACUGACCCACGCGUGAUGCGCCGACCAGCUGCACGAAACGUUCCUGCACGGUACCACUUAAAGAUGAAGAUGGCAGCUAUGUACGCGAUAGCGUGUUUUCUCGUACUAGCUCUCGUUGCGCUCAGCUAUCGACAACUGGGGAGCUUGGCGAAGGCUUCCACUACCCUGUCGUUGGGUGUGCCAUCAGCAGCCGGCCCUCAUCCGCCUGUUUCUGUUAUUGCCAAGCAACUGCCUUUAUUGAAGACAGCUGAUGAAGGAGGGGUCGAUGAGAAGGACAAACUGAUUGCCACAAUGGAGCAGAAACUACGGGACUUGGAAGCUCGCAUCCAAAAACUUGAAAAGAAUGCACCAAAGACUUACCCUAUUGUGAAGCAGCUAGACUACAGAGAGAAGAAACGCAUCCUGGUUGCUGGUGGUGCUGGGUUUGUGGGGAGCCACCUCGUUGACUAUCUUAUGCAACAGGGUCACCAAGUCACUGUGGUGGAUAACUUUUUCACUGGCAGCAAGCACAACAUUGAACACUGGAUUGGCCAUCACAAUUUUGAGCUCAUUCAUCAUGACAUCGUCAGCCCAUUGUUCAUUGAAGUUGACUACAUCUACAACUUAGCGUCACCUGCAUCUCCUCCCCACUACAUGAUGAACCCCGUGAAGACAAUCAAGACAAACACACUAGGCACCAUCAACAUGUUGGGGUUGGCAAGACGUGUUGGUGCUCGUCUUUUGAUAACAUCCACAUCGGAGGUCUAUGGGGACCCAGCUGUACAUCCUCAGAAUGAGGACUACUGGGGCCACGUCAAUCCUGUGGGGCCACGAUCCUGCUACGACGAGGGCAAGCGAGUUGCUGAAACCCUCUGCUACGCUUAUGCCAAACAGGAAAAUGUUGAAGUCCGGGUGGCUCGUGUAUUCAACACAUAUGGGCCACGCAUGCACCUUAACGAUGGCAGGGUAGUCAGCAACUUCAUUCUACAAGCAUUGCAAGAUAAACCUAUAACCGUACAUGGCCCUGGCAAGCAGACCAGGUCAUUUCAGUAUGUCAGCGACCUUAUAGAUGGUUUGGUUGCUCUGAUGCAUGCCAACUACUCAAGACCUAUAAAUCUCGGAAACCCUGAGGAGCACACUAUUGAGGAGUUUGCGCAGAUUGUAAAAAACCUUGUUGGGGGAUCCAGCAAAAUAGAAUAUGUGAGUACUGUCAUUGAUGACCCCCAGAGAAGAAGACCUGACAUUACACGUGCCAAGAAAUACCUUGACUGGGAACCAAAAGUGCCACUUUUAGAUGGCCUGAGGAAAACCGUGGCUUACUUCAAGGAGGAAUUGACAAAGAAUAGCAAGACCUAUAAUCCGCAACUAAGUCAAAACUCCACAAAGCUAUAGUAGCACAUCCUCAUGUUCUUGUCACCAUGCUCGCAUUUGUGUUCUAUGCUUCUACAAGCUUCACAGAAUGCCAGUGCUUGGCAGUGCAAUGAAGGGACUGACAGGCUCGCCAAGACUAGUGCUGUUGUGUUGGUGAAACUCAAGUCAGCAGCACACAAAAGUGCCAUUACUUUGAACAUGUCAUUGCAAACAUGAUGUUGUAAUUUUAGUUCCUUUUACUCAACACAAGCUGUGAAAAAGCUUUCUUGCUGAUGAACAGUUUGUGUGUGUGUGUGCGUGCAUGUGUGUGCGCGUGGGUGGGUGUGCGUGUGUAAUGACAUGUGCAGAUGUUCGGUGUAGUUGAUGUGUGCAGGGGCUGUAUUCCAAGACUUUAGCAAAUAUUUUCACCUUUCUGUCACCUCCUUGGAGCUUGGGGCAUCCUCUCCAUCUGCUUGAGAACCAGGCAACAUAAAGGUUUAGGGCACUUUGUAAUUUGCAGCAUUACUUGCAGACAAUUUUCUGUAGCGAUGAAUUGAAAGCUACAGGGGCAGAGCUUUUGCACAUGUGUUACUACAUAGAGUAGUCCGGCAGAACUUGAUAUCGCCUUCGGUUUCUUGGAACAGAUACUGAAUCAGUGUAGCUUCCACAUGCGAUGGUUUAGCAUUUGUCCCAACACAGAAGAAAAAAAAAGAAAAGUCAAAUUUUACACUUAGUGGUGAUUUCGUCUCAUUUUGCCUUUUGUAAAUAAGAUGCUUUUGUUUUUUCUUUUUCAGCUUUAGCUAACGCAGAUGAGAAUCGGGAACUUUUUCAGGAGUGCGCUUACUUGUGUGCAUUUUGCUUCUGUAGCUUUCCCUUCAUUGCCACAGAAAGUUGUCUGCAAGUAUAUAGACGCCCCUAAUGUAUUUCGACAUGGAAAACUAAAAAGGCCUAUACCCUGCAGACUGGUAUAACGUGGUAUAGCUAUGAUAUGUCAUGGGUAGUCGUCCUCCUUUUUUUCUUUUCUUUUGAGUUCCUUUGAUAUCUUUUAAUUGUGAAUGAUAUUUAGAUGUAUAAUUGCAUUUGCAUUUGUAGCACACCAUGCAUAUUAUAAUCUUUGCUAAUUUUGUACAUCUGUCAACUGAAAGAACCUCCUCUCAGCAUUGCAUUUUCUCUUCUGUGCUGUGCUGCGAUGAAGAGUGGCAAUGUAAUCACUCGCACUGUGUGUUUCCUUGUUGUGUUCACUGCAAAUUUAGCAUUGAAGUCAGUGUUAAGGCAGUCAUGCAAUUUGGUGUGAAGCUAUUUUCAUAAACAGAAACAAGUGCGUAGUCAUUCCUGCUUGCAUGUUCUAAACUUCAUUUAAUCCUUGUCCGAGUCAUACGCACUAAUUUUCGUACUAUGUUGCUCAUAUCGGCACAUCCUUACACAACACGUAGGCUGUCCCUUCUUUUGUUUACAUGACUUCCUUGUGCAUUUUAAACCAGCACCAUAAAGUAAACAUUCAAGGAGAUGUUACUAGUCUAAGCUCUACAGUAUAAAUUUAUGAUGGUAGAAAUUUUGGCUUGAAAAUAACUAAUAAUUGUACAUCGUUUUAUUAUUUAUGUUUUACUGUGUUGUGUGCCUGUAUUAAAAUGCUGAGGAAUGUUGUGUGUGUGUGUAAAUGCAUGUGUGUGUGGUUCAGUUAUGUGUGCUGUAUGUGCUGACAAAGUUUUGCGAACGCUGCACAAUCAGCGAUGAGCUUUAAGCAGCUUAUCACACUUUGCACUUUACAUGUAUUUUGAGAUAAUUGACGCAACUCAGAAUAAGUUAUUUUACUUUUUGUCCCAUUUGUAAAAUAUACAGCUGUUAGAAUUAAACCGUGUGUCUAGCAAGUUCUCGUGAAUUAACCAAAAAUGUUACUUGCUUUUGCUGUUGAAACUUUCACACUAGUGAAAAAUCCACUGCAAGUAAACUUAGACAAGACACUUAAUAAAGUAAGUGAAAUGUGAAUGUGCUAACUAUUAGUCACUUGCCUCACUGCUUAUUUGCACUCGCAUAUGGGGCAGGGUCGCUGACUGUGUAACACUUGCUUUACUGUAUAUUGUUGCUUUGCAGUCUGCUUAUUCUGUUCUUAGUAUUCUCACUGUGCCUAAUCACGAAAAGGAACUUAGGAUUGCAUCAUAGUAGGAGUUCUAGUCUAAAAAAAUGUUGCUGCCAAAAUUCCCGAAAGAUGCAUUCAAAGAGUCACAUUAUUGGGCUUAUGUGUUGACUUUGGCACUUUGUUGAGCUUCUGAAGUUAAUCUUCUGAAGACCGGCCUUUAUGAUACCAUCAUGUAGUUUCAUAUCUGAGCACUUGAUGCAUUGUAGGCA